rnacentral:rRNA from 1 species
UACAGAGGGUGCAAGCGUUAAUCGGAAUUACUGGGCGUAAAGCGUGCGUAGACGGUUAUGUAAGUCAGAUGUGAAAGCCCCGGGCUCAACCUGGGAAUUGCAUUUGAGACUGUGUAGCUAGGGUGCGGAAGAGGGAAGCGGAAUUUCCGGUGUAGCGGUGAAAUGCGUAGAUAUCGGAAGGAACAUCAGUGGCGAAAGCGGCUUCCUGGACCAGUACCGACGUUCAGGCACGAAAGCGUGGGGAGCAAACAGG